rnacentral:rRNA from 1 species
CCCUUAGAUGUCCUGGGCCGCACGCGCGCUACACUGAACGUAUCAGCGCGUUUUCCCUUCCCGAGAGGGACGGGUAACCUGCUGAACCCCGUUCGUGGUAGGGAUCGGGGCUUGCAAUUAUUCCCCGUGAACCAGGAAUGCCCAGUAAGUGCAAGUCAUAAGCUUGCGUUGAUUACGUCCCUGCCCUUUGUACACACCGCCCGUCGCUACUACCGAUUGAACGUUUUAGUGAGGUACUCGGACUGAGCCUCAGAAGAUUCACGUCUUUUGUGCUGCUCGGGAAGAUUCCCAAACUUGAGCGUUUAGAGGAAGUAAAAGUCGUAACA